rnacentral:lncRNA from 1 species
GCCUUAUUCUUAGGAGCUGUGGUAGCGCGUGUGGUAGCAUGCUACCUGGUCUACAUCUACUUACAAGUGCUCUGAAGAUGCUCUUGACUGCAUCCCUGUGUGUGGAGAGAUAAGCCGUUGUGGAAAAAUAACAUUACCAAACUGGAGGUGGGGGAGUCUUCCUUUCAUUCUUUUUUUUUUCAUUUUUUUAUUAUGUUUCAAAUUUUGCAAAACAAAAUGGGGUCAAAAGCCUCUGAGAUUUUUUUAAAUGAUAAGAAUAAUAAUUAAUACUAAUAAUGCCUGUUACCUAAGUUGCAACACGUGUCUCAAACUGACGCUCCUUUGGCGUUAGUGAUGACUAACCCUGCUGUGGGUAAUUAAUAGUCGAGCGAUGCAGGGGUUCUUUCCGGCUGUUCACGCGGAUGCUGUGUUUAAAACUGAAAAUUGAAUUAUCUAAUCCUACUCCAGCAUUUAUCAAAAAGACGAGGUUAGAAUUUUCUCUCCCAGAAGGGAACUUUAAGAAUGCAGGUUUAUGGCUUUUUGGGAAGAAAAAAAAAAGCUCUCUUGUUUGAAUAAGUAUUCCCCAGAAAAAUUGGGGGGUGGUGUAAAAUACACACACACACACACACACACACACACACUCACGAAAGAAAUUCUUCACAAAGAUAUGUCUUCACUAUUUCAGGAUUCUAAAAGCUACACAUAGUGUUCCCAAGAAGCUGAAGUUCUAUUUUUCUUUUCAUAAAUGUCAGAACUUUCUUCCAACACCCCUUCUUCCUACACUGACCCCACAAUUUCCCUGUAUGAUCAGCAAGUUCUAAGAGAGCCAUCAGUCUUGGAAGACAAUGCAGGCUUCACAACACAAGCCACUUGUCAAAGUUAGUGCCUCUUUUUUUUUUUUAAAUAGGCCAGCUUUGGCAGCAGAUAACCAUCUAAAAUACUCUCUCCAGCUCAGUGUGUGUGUGUGUGUGUGUGUGUGUGUGUGUGUGUGUGUGUGUGUGUGUGUGUGACACAAAGUGUGUUCUGGGGAUGAAGAAUCAGAGAGAGCUCCAGCAUUCUCUCCUCUUGAGAAGAAGUUUAAAUAAGCAUGCAGCUGCACACACCUGUAAACACACAGAAACAGGUAUGUGAGCAAACAUACACAUAUGUGUAAACACGUACUCACACGUGAGCAUGUGUGCAUGAAUGUGCAUGAAUGCGCAUGAAUGUAAAGAUGUGUAUAAGUACAUGUGAGUGCCUGCAAGCAUGUGUGUAAACACACACACACAGACAUAGAUAUAAAAACAUCCAUGUGCACACAUGUAAAUAAAGGUGUAUGUAUGUGAAAGCACAUGCAAACACAUGCCCACAUGUACAAACACACACACACAUAAAGAUAUAUAUAUAUAGAUAUAUAUAGAUAUAUAUAGAUAGAUAUAGAUAGAUAGAUAGAUAGAUAGAUAGAUAGAUAGAUAGAUAGAUACACACACACACACAUAUAUAUAUUAAUGUAAAGACACUUAUUAACAUAGGUAAGGUCGGGGGGAGGGUAUAGGGGACUUUCUGGAUAACAUUUGAAAUGUAAAUGAAGAAAAUAUCUAAUAAAAAAAACAUUCUAGUAAACUCUGCUUCAAAGCACCAUUAGUGAACAGAAGAUCUUUCAUCUGACAUAGUUUGCCUAUAAAUUCAAGGGACAAUAAGGGCAAGAGGAAGCACAAUGACUUUGCCCAUAUUUCAAGACAGAGUUUGGCCUCAGUAAAAAACAAGAUGAUGUAACCUGGAAAACACGACCUAACAACACAUUUAUCAACCCAAGUUUAUUUCAUGAGGAAAGACUUUGAACCUUAAAAGGAAUUUGAUCAAAGACAUUAUAUGCAUGUAUAAAAUACUCAAACAAUAAACAAAGAAAAAUGUUCUUAGAAAAAUAAAAAGAAGCAUUUUUUCUUUUGUUUUCAAAGUAUCCUGCAAAAUACUUGAAAUAAUCUGCAUGUCUGAUCGAUUGCAGUUCCUGGGAAAGUUUGAAUUGUAAGCAUUGAAAAAUGCCUGCUUGUCGGAGUCCUUAUCAUUUCUGCAAUUAUAGUUUCCUUCUCCGGCCAAUAGCAGGGAGAAAGUGUGUCAUGAACCCUGGGCUGUCCGUUAGUCAGAACCCAACCCCAGGUACGCAAGCUUCAGUUUAACCGAAAACUUUAUGAAGGAUCAUAAGGCUCUCUCCUUCUAGUGUUCCAUGCAGUAGCACACACAUACAGAGACAGACAGACAGACAGACAGACAGACAGACAGACACAGAGACAGAGACAGACAUACUAAGAGACAGAAAGAAAGGCAGAGGCAAAGAGAGAGACAGAGAAAGACAGGGAGACAAAGAGAAACAGAGAGAGAGCAAGCUCACAAGCACACACAGAGAAAUUUGAUUCUUAUGCAGCCAUGCCUUUUAAUAACUUUACUUUUUGUUGUCAGUUGAACGUCAGGCUAAGUUCAUUGAUGGCUUCCUAAACCCUCUCCAUCACCCUUAGUCUUGUCCUCACAUCUCACUAAAAUAAGGGAGUCUUCACAUGCUUCUCGCCCUUGAGCAAGUCCAGCUUAGGCAUUGAGGGAAUUUUUCCUAGCAGGCUCUCCUCCCACCCAGCUCCAUCCCGCUGACCCACAGCCGCCAGCUUUGGCAAACUUCAGAACAGAGGCACCACACUGCAGACUCUCACCGAUGCGUCCACCGCUUUGCCUUGGUUCCCACUCGAAACAGAUUUGUACUUAACACUGAAAAUUUUUCAUACAGACAAAAAACCCUCAAUUAUAGGUGAGAGAUAAGGAAAGAAUUAUAGAAUUUAAGAAAUUUAGAAAGCAGAUGUCUAAUUUCUUUUGAAAAUACUGUCAGAGAUAACUGCCUUGAGAGGUAUUUUCCUUGUUUGCUGGUAAAUUUUCUUGCUUUCCUUUGGCAUAAAAGAAAAAUGUAGUGUAGACCAAGCUGCUCUAGGAACCUGGGUAAAUUGAGUGAUGGAUCACAGUCAAAAACCCAGCUGCACCGAAAGAAUUGUGUCAAGUUACCUUUAGGUUAUAUGUAAGAGGUUUACAUAAAACAUAAAUGAGUAACAUGAUAGGUUUAUCUCCUGGCCCCAAGAUAUUUAUGUACAUGAAAAAUUUUGAACAUGAAAUAUUCCAAAAUC